CACGAGUUUGAUCAUGGCUCAGAUUGAACGCUGGCGGCAUGGCUAAAACAUGCAAGUCGAACGCCUGUAGCAAUACAGGAGUGGCGAAAGGGCGAGGAAUAGAUUCCUACGUACCUUGAGGUCGGGGAUACCCCGGAGAAAUCCGGAUCAAUACCCGAUGUGGUCGAGAGAUCAAAGGUUUACCGCCUCAAGAGUGGGGAAUCUCCUAUCAGCUAGUUGGUGAGGUAAUGGCUCACCAAGGCGAAGACGGGUAGCGGGUGUGAGAGCACGGCCCGCCACAUCGAGACUGAGACACUGCUCGGACUCCUACGGGAGGCUGCAGUAACGAAUCUUCCGCAAUGCGCGAAAGCGUGACGGGGCAAUGCCGCGUGCAGGAUGAAGCCCUUCGGGGUGUAAACUGCUGUCAGGGUGCAGGAAUGAAAUGACCAUACCCAAAGGAAGCACCGGCUAACUCUGUG
rnacentral:rRNA from 1 species